rnacentral:misc_RNA from 1 species
GGCUGGGCCUCUGUUGUCACUGGCUUAGAAGGUUCUAACGAUGAUGAUUGGACCACUUCCACAUCCUUAUGCACUGUAUGUGAGGAUUGAGAUGAAACCACAGCAGCAGGCCCAGACUGCAACAGCUGCCCAGGGGUAACUAGAGAAGGUACAGAAGAUUCAGCGCGAGAGUUGGAUAUUCCAACUACAGAUGAAGUUGACUGAGACACAGUUUGAUACAGUAAUGAGGGACCAGA